ensembl:lncRNA SLC16A1-AS1 SLC16A1 antisense RNA 1
UGCUGAGCGGCGCGGAGCUACCACGCCCUGCCAGACUCGCCCUUGGGUCCCUGUCUGACGAGCUCUAGGCAAUCUGCCCUCGUUCGGGACACAACCAUCGGUCUCACCCCUCAGUUUCUGCCAGAGAAAAAGGAAAAGUCACCGAGAGGCCUGACCCUGACGGGUGGGGGAGAUGCGCGUGCGGAGUAGCGGGAAGCGACUGAGGAGCGGGGAAUGGGCAGCAUUUGAAUGGAUGCGGGUGCCGCUGGCACCCGGGAAGACGCUGGGGGCCGGCGCUGUAGAGCCGGGCAUGGGCUGGGAUGUGUUUGGAUUCCAAUCCGGGCCUGACACCAGUUCAGUGACCUCGGGAAGUUCCCCAACCCUCCGGGCCUGUUUCCUCCCUCUGAAGUGGCGACAGUAGUAGAACCGACCUCGUAGGCUCAUCGGGAGGUCCUGAUGGGAGAACCCAUGCAACUUGCCACCAUAGAGCCAGGCCCGCGGCGGUUGGCGCCUGGUGGGUAUUAAAGACGAGUCGGGAAAGAAGAGCAGGUUGAUAGACUGGAUGCUGCUAUGGUAAUCUGCCUCAGGAAAAUGCCGGACUGUUGUUUGCAAGCUGGUUAAGUGAGCAAAUCUUGGGAAGAUUUCAAGUUUUUAUCUUCAGGAAACUCCCAAGCAUUCUGGAAGCUCUGCAUGUGAGUAAGAACCACUGCUGUUGCUGUUGCUGUAGCUGCCUGAAUCUAUGGCAAAAAGCCAGGAAAAAAAAAUUGCUUCACACCAUGUGCACCGACUCCCCUGGAGCUGGCACCACCAGGGCGUCUGCAGAGCUAUGUAAGUCGUUCUCCAAGCAGUCUGUCUCUUUGGUAGCUACAGAAACAGUGUUUGUUAUCCUUUGUUUUCGGUAGACAGGCAAAAAUCUGAUGGCGACAUUCUCUCUUUCUGAAGUUGGAGAGCCAACCAGCAAAACCUUCAGAAAGAAGGCAGCUUCUACCAGAGGGAUCUUGUCUCUUAUUGCUGCUUUCAAUACUUUGGAGCCUCAGUGAGAGGACUCCCUAUGAAACCAUGGAAUUAAAGUUGCCCUUUCAGAUUUUAACCUUGAGAUCAAUGCACAGUGGGUCAAAGUAUAGUUAUUCAAAGUCUUAGUAAAGAGGUAAAAUGGCUCCCUGGUAAGCAAGAUUAUGCUAUAAUCUUAAAAUAGGCUCACACCUGUAAUCCCAG